rnacentral:lncRNA from 1 species
AUCCGGCUUCACAAAAUCAAAUUUCAGUUUCAAAAUUGUCUUUGCUGACACCUGGCUUUUUGGAUACUUCAGAGGGCCCCUGGAGUGUCCAGAAAAGAGAGCAAUCUCCAGCCGCGGCUCAGAAAGAACAAGAGGGAUGGGUAAUGUAAACAUCUGGAUCAAGGCCGGGUUUGGUGGCUCAUGCCUGUAAUCCCAGCACUUUGCAAGGCUAAGGUAACCAAACUCCAAACAGCAAUGGAACCAGAGCCUCUGAAGGUGGCCCCUUCUGCUGGCAACCCUUAGACAGGCCUCACAGGGAGCCCUGACUGCUGUUUCCCCAAACAGCAUACCCCGUCAGUAGAAAGCACUUAGGAUCGAUUUUCGGGCCCACUUGGUGGCACGUGCCUGUAAUCCCAGCACUUUGGGAGGGCAGGAUGGGUGGAUCACUUGAGGUCGGAAGUCUGAGACCAGCCUGACCAACAUGGCAAAACCUCGUCUCUACUAAAAAUACAAAAAUUAGCCAGGCUAGCCAGGCAUGGUGGCACAUGCCUGUAAUCCCAGCUACUUUGGAGACUGAGGUAGGAGAAUCACUUGAACCCGGGAGGCAGAGAUUGCACUGAGCUGAGAUCGUGCUGCUACACUCCAGCCCGGGUGACAGAGCAAAACCCCGUCUCAAAAAAAAUAAAUAAAUAAAGA